GUUGUAAUUGAGAUUAAUGUGUCUAAAAGACUUUUUCACAAUUAUUAUGUUUCCUUGUUAUGUCUGUUUUUGGAUAAGGGGGUGGUGUAAAUUCAAAUCUUACAGCUAAACUAAAAAUGGUGCUCUCUAGUUUUUGUGAGUAGGGAAUGGGGAUAAAAUAAUUCUUCCUGUUGAACUUUAAGGGUGCUCUAAGGGCUUUGUUUUGAGUAGGGGUGGGGAUAGUAUUACUCUUUCCACUGAAUUGAUAGGUGCCCUUAUGGCUAAUUUUCCAUUUUCUUUGGAUUAGGGGGUGGGGAUAGUAUUGCUCUUUCCACUGAAUUGAUAGGUGCGCUAAUGGCUAAUUUUCCAUUUUCUUUGGAGUAGGGGGUGGGAAUAGUAUAACUCUUUCCUCUGAAUUGGUAGGUGCUCUAAUGGCUUAUUUUCCAUUUUCUUUGGAGUAGGGAGUGGGGAUAGUAUUACUCUUUCCACUGAAUUGAUAGGUGUUCUAAUAGCUAAUUUUCCAUUUUCUUUGGAGUAGGGGUGGGGAUAGUAUUCUUCUUGCCACUAAACUGAUAAGUGCUCUAAUGGCUAAUUUUCCAUUUUCUUUGGAGUAGGGGGUGGGGAUAGUAUAACUCUUUCCUCUGAAUUGGUAGGUGCUCUAAUGGCUUAUUUUCCAUUUUCUUUGGAGUAGGGGUUGGGGAUAGUAUUACUCUUUCCACUGAAUUGAUAGGUGUUCUAAUGGCUUAUUUUCCAUUUUCUUUGGAGUAGGGGGUGGGGAUAGUAUUACUCUUUCCACUGAAUUGGUAGGUGUUCUAAUGGCUUAUUUUGGGAUAGUAUUACUCUUUCCACUGAAUUGGUAGGUGUUCUAAUGGCUUAUUUUCCAUUUUUGGAGUAGGGGGUGGGGAUAGUAUUACUCUUUCCACUGAAUUGGUAGGUGUUUUAAUGGCUUCCAUUUUCUUUGGAGUAGGGGUGGGGAUAGUAUUACUCUUUCCACUGAAUUGGUAGGUGUUCUAAUGGCUUAUUUUCCAUUUUCUUUGGAGUAGGGGGUGGGGAUAGUAUUACUCUUUCCACUGAACUGAUAGGGUACUCUAAGGGCAUUAUUUGCCAUAGUUUUCACUCCAAAUUUAUUGUUUUUCAUUCCAAAUUUUCAAUUAGUUUAGAUAAUAAAUUAUUGAAAUACUUGAGUAGCCAAUAUGUCACAAAACCAUAUAGUUAUGUUGUUAUACAUAGAAACUUAAAACUUAAAACUUAAAAGGAAAAAAAAGUAAUAAUCAAACAUGAAUUUGAUUGAUUUUUAAAUACCAAAACCAAGUACUGGUUGAUAUUGUACCACAUCAACAAUCUGUAUGAAAUGUUCCUCUCUUAUAAAUGUAUGUGGUUUCUAAAUAUCCUCAGCGUUUCUCACUUUAUGUCAAAGCAAUGGCAGUUUAUUUAUUUAUGUAAAAAUGCACAGACUCCUUGUAAAUGUAUUGGCAUUAUAGGGUAAAUAGUCCUUACAUUUUUUUGUGCAAUAUAGUUAUUAUAUUAACAGUACUACCUUAUAUAUUCUGAGAAAUCCUGCAACUAGUGCAAUAUUGCUGUAAAGUCGACAUGAAAUCCAGAUAGUUGUUAAAUUGUUCUUAUUUUAUUGAUAUUUAUUGUAAAAAGCAAGAAAUUUAUGAAAUGUUGUAAAAACUGUUAUCAUGAUAACAACAGUAUUACAGCCUAUUAGAUCUUUGUUGUAAUCAUGAUCAGUGCAAUCUCAUUGUUAUUAA
rnacentral:lncRNA from 1 species